rnacentral:rRNA from 1 species
GAUGAACGCUGGCGGCGUGCCUAAUACAUGCAAGUCGAGCGAACAGAUAAGCAUCUUUCUCUUUUGACGUUAGCGGCGGACGCGUGAGUAACACGUACGUAACCUACCUAUAAGACAGGGGUAACUUCGGGAAACAGGAACUAAUACCGGAUAAUAUUUCGAACCGUACGGUUCGAUAGUGAUAUAAGGUAUUGCUAUCACUCAUAGGUGGUCCCGCGCCGUAUUAUCUAGUCGGUAUGGCAACGGCUUACCAAGGCGACGAUACGGAGCCGACGUGAGAGGGUGAUCGGCCACACUGGAACUGAGACACGGUCCAGACUCCUACGGGAGGCAGCAGUAGGGAAUCUUCCGCUAUGGGCGAAAGCCUGACGGAGCACCGCCGCGUGAGUGAUGAAGGUCUUCGGAUCGUAAAACUCUGUUAUUAGGGAAGAACAUAAGUGUAAGUAACUGGGCACGUCUUGACGGUACCUAAUCAGAAAGCCACGGCUAACUCCGUG